rnacentral:misc_RNA from 1 species
UGGGUAUUUGGGUUCUGGUGGCUUCGGUUAAAAGUAGCAAUUGAUUGCGUACGAUCCUUUAUUGCGAAGUAUUGAAAGUUUAUCUUUAUCAGAUUUCUUGAAAACUAGUUUGGCAAUCGUUUGGGAUUUCUUUAAUCCUUCAGCUGUUUUGAGUUGAUAAUUUGCAAAGAUGACCAUUGACAAUCUUGCGCCAAGGGAGGAG